UACGUAGGGGGCAAGCGUUGUCCGGAUUUAUUGGGCGUAAAGAGCGUGUAGGCGGCCAGGUAGGUCCGUUGUGAAAACUGGAGGCUUAACCUCCAGCUGUCGAUGGAAACCAUCUGGCUAGAGUCCGGAAGAGGAGAGUGGAAUUCCUGGUGUAGCGGUGAAAUGCGCAGAUAUCAGGAAGAACACCCGCGGCGAAGGCGGCUCUCUGGGACGGUACUGACGCUGAGACGCGAAAGCGUGGGGAGCGAACAGG
rnacentral:rRNA from 1 species